ACAGGAAAAGGAUAAAGAGAAGAUCUACUGUACAAGAGUAUGAGACCAAUGAUCCCAGUGCAAGCUCAUAUGCAGCUCUAGACCUCAAAUCUAGAUCUAAUGACCUGUACAACACGCUCACAACUGUCCCUCCCACACCUGCUGUUCACCAGUCGGGAUCUUCUGAUUAUGAGAAUCUGCCACCGUAUCACAAGACGCCACAGUAAUAUGAAGCGCAAAUUAAACUUUACUCAACUUUUGUCGCAUUUCUGGACAACCACAUCACAACUCCUGAUGAAAAUGAACAGUGUUGGGGAAAGUUACUUUUAAAAGAAAUGCAUUACAAUAUUGC